CGGUUGUGUGUAUGUCGGAGUAAACACAAACUCCUCCUUCCCGGUGACAGGCGGCAACACCGAAGGGGUCGCCUCGCCUUCUCCAACGCAAUUUUGCGCCCUGGACUUAUUGUCGGUUGCCGUCGAGGUGGUGGUCAGCAUCCCCUGGAGGUGAAGCGCUGUGACCCGUAACUCACCGCCGCCUGGAGCCACACGGAUCGUCUGGACUUCACUCCCCCACCUCCAGCUUCUGUCCAACCGCCCUCUGAAGACGUCGACAAUGUGACAGCUGGACCCUUUCAGAAGCAUGUGACCUGCCGUUAUUAUGGAUCGGAAAAUCAGCAUACAUUGAAUCUACACUCAUCCAGCGUCACUGGAGGGUUUUAUAGUCAGAGCAGACGGGUUUGCUCUUUCCCUGCAGAGCGGGCAGUUCACUCAUCCCUUCUGGUCUCUUUUCCUCGCCUCAGAAUCAAGGGGCUUUUUGUUCUCCCGGCAGCAGCGCUCAUCACCUCUUCCACCGCCGCUGCCCUUCCCGUCGUUUUCUCGGGGAACGGAGGGAUAUUUUGAGGGAUGGAGCUUGUCGGUUCUGCGCGCAUCCUGAAAGACUGUCGUUAUUUCGGUCUCCUCUCGGUCUGAAAAUGGGGCUUGAGACCCCCCCCUCCCCCUUCUCGAUCUCCCUGUGCUGGAGAUCUGUUUAACCCCAGUAUCUUAUCACUUAGGAAAAAUAAAUCUCAGGGCAGCAGAGAAGCUUUGUGGAUUGUCUUCAUUACAGGCUCUGACGCCGCGUUUCAUUCAGAUUCAUUUGAGUGAAAUAGGUUUCUUCAUCCCGCAGGAUUUCUCUAUUUCUACGCUUGAAUAAAAUGACAUUUAAAAUCAGCAUACAUUCUCAGGGGAAGCAGUGUGGUUGGUUGUGAUUCUUUCUACAUUCUCUGAGUCAGCUGUUGUUAUUUAGCAUAGAACUCUCAAGUCGGUUUAAUCCUUUUUACUCACCAUUAGGAUGGAUUUAUGGUCAGUUAAAGGAGGGGAUUCCUCCAUAAUGUGACCACCGGUCAUCGUCUUGUUUAUUGUUUCCAUUGUAAGUGUAUAACCAGGAAGGAUGUGGUUCCUGAAUGGCUUAUGUUUCUGAAUUGAAGGAACCACAUAGUAUAAUCAAACCCCUACAUAGAAUGUUAUGAAGCAUAAGGAGUCCUGAUAUAAAUGUACUUUAAAGUGAAAUGACUGCGUGUUUAUUGACUGAUUGUGAUGAUAACAUGGCGUUCAUCACUAGAGAGCGGAGAGAGUGAACCUUUAACCGAGAUGAUUGCUUUUUAAAAUAAAGCUUUUUUAGUUUUU